UACGUAGGGUGCGAGCGUUAAUCGGAAUUACUGGUCGUAAAGCGUGCGCAGGCGGCUUUGCAAGACAGAUGUGAAAUCCCCGGGCUCAACCUGGGAACUGCAUUUGUGACUGCAAGGCUAGAGUACGGCAGAGGGGGAUGGAAUUCCGCGUGUAGCAGUGAAAUGCGUAGAUAUGCGGAGGAACACCAAUGGCGAAGGCAAUCCCCUGGGCCUGUACUGACGCUCAUGCACGAAAGCGUGGGGAGCAAACAGG
rnacentral:rRNA from 1 species